rnacentral:piRNA from 1 species
AAUGGGUGUAAUUAGAUACA